GUCAUAUCUUACAGAAUUUAAGUCAGUAUACUGACUUGUAGACGACUCACUGAGGAUGAACACAGUCAAAUCAUCAUCUAAAGCUUAAAGGUCAAAGUCGUUGUAAUCGUUAAUUGGUUUGCCGACAAGGUCUUCUUCGGAACCUAGAACCUGAACUAUGGAGGGCAAAUUUUUGGACUCCGUGUUCGAACUUCACACUCCGCGUCGUCCAGUUUCUCUCCUCGUUUCUGGCAUCGAUCAGAUGGCACUAUUUCAACGUGUGCCAUACACAUAACUAAGUAUCAUUUUACGGUUUUAAGUAUGAGCUGUACAAACAGACUUAUGAAAAUGAGUAAAGCGCAUUUUACAACUUCAGUUAAUGACUCAGCUCUAUAGAGUUUUCAGAAAAUAAGUUUCAAAUUUCGUACGAGCGAAUUUCUAUAAUGUAUAUGCAAUGUGUUUGCGACGAAUCAACUCGAUUCACAUCAUUUGACAAAGCUUUUCCACUCGAAAUAAAGGACAGGUCAAGUUUUAAAAAAGAAAAUCCACUUCUGUACUACACGGUCAUAAUUACCAUUUCAUUAUGUAUAUUCAUACGAAAUCGUGCUGUGGAUCAGCCUCCCGUCUGUUAGUGAGUUUUUCCCCGGUUGGCCAACAAAACUUCCAAUUUUGUAGAUGUUUGCUGUUUUAUAAAUGACUUUAUAUGGGAAAGUGCGUUAAGCUUCCCACUGAUUGAAAAAUUUGAACGGAAUUCAAAGAGAUGGGUGCUCAAUGCAACCGACUACCGCAUUCUUCAGUGGCGAACGGUGUAUUAAAUAUCUAUGAAUUUACACCCCGUAGAGAUGUUUUUACUUUUCUCAUUGAACCUGUCGUUGUAUCGCAGUAAUCUACUUUGAUAAGAUUUUCGUUUGUUUCCCAUAUCACGCGGGUUUGUGCAGAUUCGUAAAUGCAUCAUAGACCUAAUUCGUCUGGUGAACAGUCUGGGGUUGUUUUUACCCAAGUUCGUUAAAGGUUUCCUGACAGAGGACGUAAGACCUGAUGGAUAACACAGGGUAUAAUUGGAUUAUUGAACACAAUAGGUCUCUCUACCAUAUUGGAAAUUUUCGACAUGCCUAGAUAUCACUCGUUGAUCUAAGAAUGCGUCUAAUCUUGACUGAUGUGUCUUCGGUGUCUCAAGGUCAAGCAUUCGUCAAUAAAGAAUAUUCGCGUUGCUAUAAAUGACAAAAACUGGCACGUGUGUCUCGCUGGCGUGCUAACUUCAUUAAGAACAGGAUGUUUGUGUAUAUUAGACCAAUAUUAGAUACAAAUAUACGAAAAUUAGAGCGUUUUAUUACCUAACGUGCGGUCUUUAACUAUUCUCAAUCUUCCUUUUUUGCGAUUCGGUUUUUUCAAUAAUCUAUGACAAAACAUAUUAUUCGGUGAACGACGUAGUUGAUUACGUGUUGUGUAAUUCAUUUCGUAAGCAUUACGUAAGCGGAAGAACUUUGUAUUUUAUCGUAAAUCCUAUUGAACGUGUAAGUUGUUUUUUUGUCGCAAAAUAUCUUAGAAAAUCUGGAUCAAGGUGAUAAGAGAAGUUUUUGGUGAAGUUAAGGAAGAUAAACUGCGAACACAACAUAUGCCUAUUUUCCUAUUUUCACUUGCACACUUGCUGUGAACAUAUUUCGGUGGAAUUUUAAAACACAAGUACGCUGCUUUUGGUCUUCGGCAAGACCGACACGUGAAUAUGACACGAAGACUGUAAAGAAACGAAACUCUAAAGUUCAAAACAGAUAAACUUCACGUCCAUCACGAGUCGUUUUAAGCAACUAAACACAAGGUCACAAGAAGUAAGGACGCCCACUCUUGUAGUGAAAUUCAUCACAAGUUAUGAUCAGGUUCAAACAUACAGCAACGUGUAUUUCAACGCUGUGCAAAAAACAUAUCUCUCUACUGGAGACAUGAGAAAACCUAUGACUACGACGCCUUGUUAAAGAUCAUAAGAAGCUUUUUUAUUUUCCUAAACACAGCAGGUUCUCAUUGUCAAUUUUAUAACUUCAUUCAUCAUAUUGUAAAUUUUCCUAUUUGCAGGGGGCAGGCAUUAAGGAUCGAACCGUGAACGAGGACCUUAAAAUGGAAAGUGAGGGGCAACAUUGUCAAGAGAAUUGACAAUAAGGACGGCUGGGCGGAGCACUCAGGCGAAAAAGAUUGGUUUACAAUUAAAGAUGUUGAAUGCAGUAUUUCAGUGACGUUUCAAGCAAAAGUUACUUUACAAGAACGUAGUUUUUGAAUUCAUGAAUUUGCACUUCUUCAUUGACAGACGAGUUCUAAAUCGCUGAAGUUACUAGGAUAUAAAGAUGAAAUACUUACGCAGAAUUUUAUACCAUUAACACAUCACGAAGACAAGAACUAUAACAUCUGAACUAGCUUAUCGGCAAAUAUUGUAAAUUAAUUUAGUAAAAAAAACUUUAACUUAAUUAUCUUGUGUAAAUUUAGACACGCAAUUCAGUCUGUAGGCUGCCAUGUGUUAAUUUUAUUAAACUAUCUAUCUUCCUGUCUA